AUUGAACGCUGGCGGCAUGCCUUACACAUGCAAGUCGAACGGUAACAGGUCUUCGGAUGCUGACGAGUGGCGAACGGGUGAGUAAUGCAUCGGAACGUGCCCAGUAGUGGGGGAUAGCCCGGCGAAAGCCGGAUUAAUACCGCAUACGACCUGAGGGUGAAAGGGGGGGAUCGCAAGACCUCUCGCUAUUGGAGCGGCCGAUGUCAGAUUAGCUAGUUGGGGGGGUAAAGGCCUACCAAGGCAACGAUCCGUGGUUGGUCUGAGAGGACGACCCACCCGACUGGGACUGAGAAACGGCCAAGAUUCCUACGGGAGGCACCAGUGGGGAAUUUUGGACAAUGGGGGCAAGCCGGAUGCAGCAAUGCCGCGUGCAGGAAGAAGGCCUUCGGGUUGUAAACUGCUUUUGUCAGGGAAGAAAUCUUCUGGGUUAAUACCUCGGGAGGAUGACGGUACCUGAAGAAUAAGCACCGGCUAACUACGUGCCAGCAGCCGCCGUAAAAC
rnacentral:rRNA from 1 species